rnacentral:rRNA from 1 species
GAUGAACGCUGGCGGCGUGCCUAAUACAUGCAAGUCGAGCGAACAGACGAGGAGCUUGCUCCUCUGACGUUAGCGGCGGACGGGUGAGUAACACGUGGAUAACCUACCUAUAAGACUGGGAUAACUUCGGGAAACCGGAGCUAAUACCGGAUAACAUGUUGAACCGCAUGGUUCAACAGUGAAAGACGGUCUUGCUGUCACUUAUAGAUGGAUCCGCGCCGCAUUAGCUAGUUGGUAAGGUAACGGCUUACCAAGGCAACGAUGCGUAGCCGACCUGAGAGGGUGAUCGGCCACACUGGAACUGAGACACGGUCCAGACUCCUACGGGAGGCAGCAGUAGGGAAUCUUCCGCAAAGGGCGAAAGCCUGACGGAGCAACGCCGCGUGAGUGAAGAAGGUCUUCGGAUCGUAAAACUCUGUUAUUAGGGAAGAACAAAUGUGUAAGUAAUUAUGCACGUCUUGACGGUACCUAAUCAGAAAGCCACGGCUAACUACGUG